AAGGAGUCUAACAUGUGUGCAAGUGUUCGGGAGUCAAGUCCCAAGCGCGAAAUUAACGUAAAGGUGGGUUUCGGCCCGCUGAGGUAGGAAGCUUCGGCUGCACUAUCGACCGACCAUGAUCCUUCGAGUGAAAGGUUUGAGUGUGAGCAUACAUGUUGGGACCCGAAAGAUGGUGAACUAUGCUUGAGUAGGACGAAGCCAGGGGAAACUCUGGUGGAGGUCCGUAGCGAUUCUAACGUGCAAAUUGAUCGUCGAACUUGAGUAUAGGGGCGAAAGACUAAUCGAACCAUCUAGUAGCUGGUUCCUCCCGAAAUUUCCCUUAGGAUAGCUGCAACCGAACAGUUUUAUCAGGUAAAGCGAAUGAUUAGAGGCCUCAGGGGUGAAAUGCUCUUGACCUAUUCUCAAACUUUAAAUGGGUAAGAGCCCCGAGUUGCUUAAUUGAACUCGGCGGUCGAAUGACGGUUGCUAGUGGGCCAAUCUGGGUAAGCUAGAUUGGCGAUGCGGGAUGCUCCGAACGUUAAGUUAAAGUGCCAAAGUAUCCGCUAACCUAGAUCCCACAAAAGGUGUUGGUUCAUUAAGACAGCAGGACGGUGGCCAUGGAAGUCGGAAC
rnacentral:rRNA from 2 species